rnacentral:rRNA from 1 species
GCGCUCCUACGGGACGCAGCAGUAGGGAAUCUUCCACAAUGGACGAAAGUCUGAUGGAGCAACGCCGCGUGAGUGAAGAAGGGUUUCGGCUCGUAAAGCUCUGUUGGUAGUGAAGAAAGAUAGAGGUAGUAACUGGCCUUUAUUUGACGGUAAUUACUUAGAAAGUCACGGCUAACUACGUGCCAGCAGCCGCGGGAAUAAGUAGGUGGCAAGCGUUGUCCGGAUUUAUUGGGCGUAA